GAAUAGAAUUUUUUCUUAGAACUGAGUUGAACUCAGUUAGAACUCAGUUCUUCUAAGAACUAGAAUCUGGAACUCAGAUAUACAACUGGAUAUAAUACUCCUAAUUUACAUGCUAAUUUUUAACAUAUACCUGAUCAUCUCCUCUCUAAUGAGGCAGUAUAGUCUUUGGCUCUCAAGAACAUGUUUUAUGACUGGCUCACCUUGAAAACAAUAAUUCACAGCAUCUACUCUUAAACAGUUUUACUAGUAACUACUACCUAUAAAACUACUACCAACCAGGAUGCAGUAUCCCUUAGGAAUUUGGAGAAAUGAAGAUAGUUUGAAGAUUUGAGUUUAUAUAUUUGUGGUGGCUGUCAAAGUGUGCCACUUAGAUAUCCUUCAAGAGAGAACUUAAUGUUUCCCGUCAGCUGGAAAGGAAAAAACAAGAAAUAUCAUGUAUAUGACGGUUCAUGGAUGGACCUAGAAGUGGUGUGUCUCCUUUGCUCACAUUCUACGCUCUGGAAUCCAGUGACAGGGCAUAUCCAACCAUAUGGGAGGUUGGGAAUUAGUAUCUAUGUGCCAGAGAAGAGGAGCACUUUCAGCAGUUCUAUCAUGCAGCAUCUCAGAAAGAUUGAUUUAAAACUAAUCUACUUGUGUGCAAAAUGA
rnacentral:lncRNA from 1 species